AGUGAACGCUGGCGGUAGGCCUAACACAUGCAAGUCGAACGGCAGCACAGUAAGAGCUUGCUCUUACGGGUGGCGAGUGGCGGACGGGUGAGGAAUACAUCGGAAUCUACUUUUUCGUGGGGGAUAACGUAGGGAAACUUACGCUAAUACCGCAUACGACCUACGGGUGAAAGCAGGGGAUCUUCGGACCUUGCGCGAUUGAAUGAGCCGAUGUCGGAUUAGCUAGUUGGCGGGGUAAAGGCCCACCAAGGCGACGAUCCGUAGCUGGUCUGAGAGGAUGAUCAGCCACACUGGAACUGAGACACGGUCCAGACUCCUACGGGAGGCAGCAGUGGGGAAUAUUGGACAAUGGGCGCAAGCCUGAUCCAGCCAUACCGCGUGGGUGAAGAAGGCCUUCGGGUUGUAAAGCCCUUUUGUUGGGAAAGAAAAGCAGCAGGUUGAUACCCCGCUGCUCCGACGGUACCCAAAGAAUAAGCACCGGCUAACUUCGUG
rnacentral:rRNA from 1 species